AAUUAUGGAUCAACGAGCCAAAUCCAGUCAGUUCAACUGGUCCAAGCAGCAGCGUAUGUUGCGCGUAACGGAAUCUGUGUGGCGAGAACAGCGAUUCGUUUACUUAAAAUUUAAAGUGAUCACGGGAUACAGCGACGUGGCGUGUGCAUCGGCACGUAUACCGAAAUGUGCGCUGGUCUAUGUAACAGGGCUGAUUUGCAAGGAAGGAACAAAAUAAUAAAGCGCAAUUGCGCGAGCCCUCGAUUAUUUCAUUGCACGUUGACGUCAAGUUAUACACCGACCAAUCAUCGAGCUCGCGCAUCGACGAGCCCCCAGUGAAGAUCGACGAACACGCGUACAAUUUCCUCACGAUUUUAAUGAUCAAGUCUCAUGGAAGCUCGAUAUUUGACCUUCCCUCUUUCAAUGACACGCUAGUUAGUCAAAUAAAAUUCAUUGUUUCAAGUAUCUUUUUAUAUUAUAUCGUUUGCUAAUUUGUUGACCGCUUUCGAAUCGAUCGGUAACUUUCUUUUUGAAGAUCGAAUUCGUGAAUCCAUAAGUGGACUGCGGAUUCAUAUUUUCGAUGGAAAUUCAUAUUUUUAUAUAUACAAAUGAAAAGAUGGUAUCUAGAUAGAGACUUAUAUUCCAUUCCUCAUAUAUUAUAAAGAUGCAAUAUAUUAUAUUUUUAUACGUAUGCGUACAUGUAAAAUAAAAUUAACAACGGCUUAUAAUAUUUAUUUAUAAAACGAGAUAUAUAUCACUAGAAGCAUUCUUCGAACGUGCGUCUUAUUUAACGAUUUCACGAAGAAACUUUAUAUUAAAUUUACGUAUACUUUUACAAUAUUUUAUAUAUUUCUCCGUAUUAUGCAUACUUUCUGUAUUUCUAUACAUUUCGACUUCCUAUAAAUGUAUAAGCAUAUGUUAGUUUAUCGAUAACUCGCAAAAUCGUUAACUCAUCUAAUGAAAACAAAUGUAAUCAAUUUGUUUUUCCAAUUAAGUUUUUAUCAUUGUCUAUGAGGAGAAAGUUGCAUUUAAACAAUGAUCAAAAAAGACGAGAGUAAGCCGGAAUUUAGGCCAGUGACAAAACGAAACGAAGGUACAGCUGCCAACUUUUACUCGAAUCUCAUCUUCUCGGUCGAGGUUCUCUACUACCUACGCGACUAUCCGACAUUCGACCCAUGACGUUGCAACGUGACGUUCUUCCCGCGCUUCUUGCGUGUUUCAUGCAACAUUCGAAUUAUUGCUGUUUCACGGUUUUGAAAUUUUGAAGCUUAUCGUUCAUUUCUCAGGAUUUUAUAAUCUCGAAAGAUCAUACUAAUACUGUUGCGAUAAACAGCGGGCUGAAAAUCACACCAAUAUAAGUCAUGAUUCUGAAAAUGUAGAUCUAGUCACAUAUUUCAAUUUCGAAAAGAGUCGUUCUUUUUGUUUCAUAAUUAAUUAAAUAUUAUAAUCAGAAUGCGAAUGUUUAUGCAUUUAUAGGAAAUUAUAAUAUACAAAAAUGUACAAAAUAAUAUAACAGGAGCUUUAAGAUGCGUAAAUUCAUUAAACCAAUUUCAUAUAAACUUCAUAUAACCGCAGUUCAACAAAAAGGCUCUCCCGUAGUCUACGAAAUUAAAGUCUUCUAAUUUUCUAACCAGACAAUCUCCGUAGUAGCAGGAUUACUUGCCAAUUUCUUGGUCUUUUUUUAACUUCUACGAAGAUUUUUUCCUCAAUACUAUCGACUAUACGAAUUGAAGUUGCCGCGACUGAAAUUGCAUCGUCAGUUAGCACACAUCUCAUCGUACGAGAUUGUACAAAGUCUCCUAGCGCUUCUCAUUACGUCACAAGAGUUAAAAUAACCUGCUCAUUGGUAGUAGACGAUCGAACAUUCGUCACGACCAUGGUAUCGCUCAAAUAAAACCACCAUCGAAACACGCGAGAACAGUAAAACCUGCAGAUACUCGAUAGUAUGACCUUUUGAACUUGGCAUCGAUACUCCAAUCAUCGUGAUACGUAUACAUACUUACAUAUGUGUAAAAGCAAUGUAUGAAUCGAAUAGUGCAAGAUUGGAAUAAGAAAAGUUCGAAGAUCUCCAAAAGGAUUAGGAUAUAUUUAGAUUCUUUGUAUAACUACGUCAAAUCUUGGGGGAGAAUCGUAGUUGUUAAUUAAAGAUGCAAAAGCACAAAUGAAAAGGAAGGAGAAGGUGGAGGAAUGAGAAUCGCUGAGGAUCGAGCCCCCUUGGUUGAACCAAUCGCAAGACGCCUCGAAACCAACGCCUACCAAUUCGACCAAUCGGAGAUUAAGACUUCCGAAGGCGCGACCGCGCGAGGCAAACAUACCUUUGUCCAUACUAUCGGCGAACCAGAUGGAAGAAAGAGGAAAAAUUAGCACGUAACAAACCCACUCACACCCCCGGUUAACCACUCUUAAGAUCGGAGCAAACGAAUCGCACAAUCUUGAAAGCGGAAACACACGCGAUAUAAAUAGCUAUCAACGAAAUGCUACAGAUAUUAAACACGCAGUAGAUACCGUUGAUGACGAAAUCAAAUUAAUCGAU